rnacentral:rRNA from 1 species
UACGGAGGGUGCAAGCGUUAUCCGGAUUCACUGGGUUUAAAGGGAGCGUAGGUGGGUCUGUAAGUCAGUGGUGAAAUCUCCGAGCUUAACUUGGAAACUGCCAUUGAUACUAUCUGUCUUGAAUAUUGUGGAGGUGAGCGGAAUAUGUCAUGUAGCGGUGAAAUGCUUAGAUAUGACAUAGAACACCAAUUGCGAAGGCAGCUCGCUACACAUAUAUUGACGCUGAGGCACGAAAGCGUGGGGAUCAAACAGG